AUUGAACGCUGGCGGCAGGCCUAACACAUGCAAGUCGAGCGAGCGGCGGACGGGUGAGUAAUGUGUGGGAAACUGAUUGAGGGAGGGGGGGAACGACGGGAAACGGUAACAAAUACCGCAUACAAACAGAUGUGAGCAGAGGGGAUGAGCUAGUAGGUGGGGUAACGGCCAACCUAGGGGACGAGACCUAGCUGGGCUGAGAGGAUGACCAGCCACACUGGAACUGAGACACGGUCCAGACUCCUACGGGAGGCAGCAGUGGGGAAUAUUGCACAAUGGGCGCAAGCCUGAUGCAGCCAUGCCGCGUGUAUGAAGAAGGCCUUCGGGUUGUAAAGUACUUUCAGCGGGGAGGCGUUACCCGCAGAAGAAGCACCGGCUAACUCCGUGCCAGCAGCCGCGGUAAUAC
rnacentral:rRNA from 1 species